rnacentral:rRNA from 1 species
AGUGAACGCUGGCGGUAGGCCUAACACAUGCAAGUCGAGCGGCAGCACAGGAGAGCUUGCUCUCUGGGUGGCGAGUGGCGGACGGGUGAGGAAUACAUCGGAAUCUACUCUGUCGUGGGGGAUAACGUAGGGAAACUUACGCUAAUACCGCAUACGACCUACGGGUGAAAGCAGGGGACCUUCGGGCCUUGCGCGAUUGAAUGAGCCGAUGUCGGAUUAGCUAGUUGGCGGGGUAAAGGCCCACCAAGGCGAUGAUCCGUAGCUGGUCUGAGAGGAUGAUCAGCCACACUGGAACUGAGACACGGUCCAGACUCCUACGGGAGGCAGCAGUGGGGAAUAUUGGACAAUGGGCGCAAGCCUGAUCCAGCCAUACCGCGUGGGUGAAGAAGGCCUUCGGGUUGUAAAGCCCUUUUGUUGGGAAAGAAAUCCAGCUGGCUAAUACCCGGUUGGGAUGACGGUACCCAAAGAAUAAGCACCGGCUAACUUUGUGCCAGCCGCCGCCGUAA